UCUUGCUAUGCUCUCCACACUAACAUCAAUUAUGUAGUCCCAAGUAGCAUUACAGGUGUUUCCUCAAACAAAUUUUCUCUUGGGUAUUCGUCAAGAACCUCAACCCGUACCUCCUACUGAGAUUUUCAAGUGGUCAGAAGAGAGAGCUUUGGGCGACAUCUCCUUACAUUUAGUGUGAAAUAUGUUCAUGAGAGUUGCAAAGAUGUGGUCAGAGAAGACAGAGCAUCCUCCUUACACACAGAGCGUAGUGCUUUGGGGGAAAAAGUCAACUUUACUUACCAGAGAAACCAUUACCAUUGAUGAAAUAAAGUCAUUUCAUCGUUUACUGCACAAGAUUCAUUUGAAGGGAAAGAUGCCACAGAACAAGCAGAUGUUAAAGCUAAAGGAAAAAUAUGGCGAAUUCAUCCUAUUUUCUCAUUUCCUGAAAGACUCAUCCAGCUGUGUACCAGGACAGGUGUGCCCUGACCUGGGUGUCAUAGCUGGCUAUGGAAAUCACUCCAGUUCUCCAGACCCACAAGAACACAGGAAUCACUCUUAA
rnacentral:lncRNA from 1 species